AUUGAACGCUGGCGGCAGGCCUAACACAUGCAAGUCGAACGAGUCGCGGACGGGAGUGUUAUGUCUGGGAAACUGCCUGAUGGAUGGGGUUAACUAAGGGAAACGGUUGCUAAUACCGCAUUCAAGCGGCUGUGCCCAGAUGGGUUGGGCUUGUUGGUGGGGUAAAGGCUUACCAAGGCGACGAUCCCUACCUGGUCUGAGAGGAUUACCAGCCACAAUGGAACUGAGACACGGUCCAGACUCCUACGGGAGGCAGCAGUGGGGAAUAGUGGACAAUGGGCGAAAGCCUGAUGCAGCCAUGCCGGGUGUAGGAAGAAGGCCUUCGGGUUGUAAAGUACUUGCAGCGGGGAGGCGUUACCCGCAGAAGAAGCACCGGCUAACUACGUGCCAGCAGCCGCGGUAAUAC
rnacentral:rRNA from 1 species